rnacentral:rRNA from 1 species
CCUACGGGGGGCUGCAGUGGGGAAUAUUGGACAAUGGGGGCAACCCUGAUCCAGCCAUGCCGCGUGUGUGAAGAAGGCCCUCGGGUUGUAAAGCACUUUCAGUGAGGAAGAACGCCUGGUGGUUAAUACCCAUCAGGAAAGACAUCACUCACAGAAGAAGCACCGGCUAACUCCGUGCCAGCAGCCGCGGUAAUACGGAGGGUGCGAGCGUUAAUCGGAAUUACUGGGCGUAAAGCGCGCGUAGGUGGCUUGAUAAGCCGGUUGUGAAAGCCCCGGGCUCAACCUGGGAACGGCAUCCGGAACUGUCAAGCUAGAGUGCAGGAGGGGAAGGUAGAAUUCCCGGUGUAGCGGUGAAAUGCGUAGAGAUCGGGAGGAAUACCAGUGGCGAAGGCGGCCUUCUGGACUGACACUGACACUGAGGUGCGAAAGCGUGGGUAGCAAACAGGAUUAGAUACCCUAGUAGUC